UGACAUCCAGUACAGUAGGUGGCGAUAAUGCUCCGGAGUUAUUCGCCAUUAAACAAGAAGAAGAAGAAGAAGAAGGAGGAGGAGAGACAUCAGGAGAUUAGUGCUAUUUGUAUUUAGCAAAAACAGUCUGCUGGAUACUUUACGUCUCUGAUCAAGCUGAAUCUGUAAGUUAUCAUGUCUAAACACAGGACGAAAAAGCUCAUCAUUGAAGAUGGUAUGUGUUAACCUACUGGUCUUUUGCUCUUUCUAUACUGCAUCAUGAUUAUAAUGCAGCACUAGCUGUCUGUCUUGAAUAUGUAUCAUAGGUUUUUAUAUUAAAACAUUCUGGGCUUGAAAUCUUCAUUUUUAAUGUCCUGUACAAAUUUACUUUCAGAUGAGCCAAAGCAAGAUGAGCUGAAUCCGUUUUCUUUCAAGGAGUUCGUCCGAUACAAGAACCAGCAGUCUUGUACUACAGAAGCCACAGAGGUGUGUGGUGGAGCAUUCAACGUCGAACAGGAUUAUAACACCUCCAUAGAUUUUGCCACGAAGGGGCCGUUCUUCUCAGACCCGUCUGCGCUCUGUCAGCCUUCUGAAAACGAACCUGAGGAAACAUGGAUUGAAAGCUGCCGCCCAUCAGCCCUUGAUGGUUCUCAUGACUUCGAACUAUCUGGUACUUUAGACCUCAGUGCUUUCUCUGAGCAGUCAUCUCUCUGCAGUGAUGAGAGGGGAGCACAUGUAACUGAAUGGGAACUGUGUAAUUCUGACUUCCUGCCAAAGAGCCACUUAGCUAGAAGAAGCACAGGAAGCUAUGAGGGUGAUGAAGAGACUUCAGUGAUUGACAUUUCCUUCCAUCCGAAGAGGAGUAAUGCUGAAAAUGGCACAAAGAAUCCCCAACAGGUAUGUUGUGUGAAUUGUGAAUGGUGUGAGGUUUUGUAUAUACAUGAGCCAAUUGUUAUAUUAUAAUUGGUGCAAAUGAAUGUUUUUAAAGGUGUUUUGUGUGUUUUAGCUUAGAGAAGAGAAUUCUCUACUCAGAAAGCAAGUCAAAGAACUCCUUAGAAGGUCAGAAUCUGACUCCAAAAGGUAGGCUAUUUACACCAAUUGUAAUAUUAUAUACAUUACUAAAUGUAAAAUAACACAUUAAUUGUAAUUCUUUUGAGGUAAUUAAAGAUUAGAUUACCCAAAAGUGAACAUUCACUCACUCUCAGGUCAUCGUAUGUGUAGAUGAGUUUGUUUCUUCAUCGGAACAGUUUUGGAGAAAUUUAGCAUUACAUCACUUGCUCACCAACGGAUCCUCUGCAAGUGAAUGGGUGCCGUCAGAAUGAGAGUCCAAACAGCUGAUAAAAACAUCACAAUAAUUCACACGACUCCAGUCCAUGAAGAAACAAACUCAUUUAGAUAUUGUAUGGCCUUAGGGUAAAUGUUCAGCACAUUUUUAUUUUUGGGUGAACCAUUCAUUUAAUGGACUGAAGCUGCUGUGCUUUUAUUAAGUUUCUAGAUGAUUUCUCACUGUUAAACUAUCCAAUUGUAAUAGGAUCAAACAACUGACGGAUGAGUUGCACAACAAGAAGUUGCAGGAGGAGAGAGAGGCUAAGGCUUUGGAGACAAUGGUGCAGUCAGUAGAACAAAACCUUGAGUUAAUGACGGUAUUAAGCACUGUGUUAUCUUUCAUAUGACAUUUCUUUUUGUUUUUAGUGUAAAUCCUAUUCUUAUAAAUGCUUUAAAAAAUUCUGUUUUUUUUUCCAAUACAGAAGCGAGCAGUCAAAGCUGAAAAUAGUAUUUCAAAAUUGAAACAAGAGAUACAACAACUCCAGGUUGGACUUCUUUUCAUAUGCACAAGCACACUGAAGAAAGCAUACUAUGCACAUACAUUAUAUAAUGUCA
rnacentral:lncRNA from 1 species